rnacentral:piRNA from 1 species
UAAUUAACUUCAGUGCCUUGGUUAAC